rnacentral:rRNA from 1 species
CCUACGGGAGGCAGCAGUGAGGAAUAUUGGUCAAUGGGCGAGAGCCUGAACCAGCCAAGUCGCGUGAAGGAUGACGGCCCUACGGGUUGUAAACCUCUUUUGUCAGGGAACAAAGGCGGGGACGUGUCCCCGGAUGAGUUUACCUGAAGAAAAAGCAUCGGCUAACUCCGUGCCAGCAGCCGCGGUAAUACGGAGGAUGCGAGCGUUAUCCGGAUUUAUUGGGUUAAAAGGGUGCUCAGGCGGUCUGUUAAGUCAGCGGUCAAAGCCCGGGGCUACACCCCGGCCCGCCGUUGAAACUGGCAGUCUCGAGUUGGAGAGAAGUAUGCGGAAUGCGCGGUGUAGCGGUGAAAUGCAUAGAUAUCGCGCAGAACUCCGAUUGCGAAGGCAGCAUGCCGGCUCCACACUGACGCUGAGGCACGAAAGCGUGGGUAUCGAACAGGAUUAGAUACCCCAGUAGUC